UUUUUUUCUGCAUUCAGGCUGAUCAACUGCAGUUUGUCAAAGAUCAGCUGUGAUGCUCUGGCUGCAGCUCUGAAGUCCAACCCGUCCCACCUGACAGAACUGGACCUGAGGAACAACAACCUUCAGUCUUCAGAUGUUCAUCAGCUCCAGGAUCUGGUGGAGAGUCCAAACUCCAAACUGCAGACUCUGAGGUGGGGGUCAGUCUGAUGUUCCUCCUAGUGGAUCAGAGAGGAUCAUCAUCAGCUGGUCUGCAGAGAUGUUGUUCCUGGAGGUGGAGAGCAGAGUGAUGGAGGAAUGAGAGGAAGUGGAGAUGAUCAUCAGAGCUGCAGCAUGAAGCAUGAUAGAGAACUGCACUUCAUCUUCAGUCAACAUCUUUUAGUUGUUUUAACACACAGUGUAAGAUUUCAGACUUUCAAUUUAAAGACUGCAUGCCAUCUUUCAUCUCAAAUACAAAAUAGAAUCUUUCA